GGUAAAAAAGCUCGUAGUUGGAUUUCUGUUGAGAGCGACCGGUCCAUACCAUGUAUGCGUAUCUGGCUUGCUCUCGGCAUCCUCUCGAUAGACGUUGCUGCGCUUGAUUGCGUGGCGCGGAUCUCGGGACUUUUACUUUGAGGAAAUUAGAGUGUUCACGGCAGGCUUUCGCCAGAAUACAUUAGCAUGGAAUAAUACUAUAGGAUCUUGGUUCUAUUUUGUUGGUUUCUAGAAUUGAGAUAAUGAUUAAUAGGGACAAUUGGGGGCAUUCGUAUCAACACGUCAGAGGUGGAAUUCUUGGAUUGUGUUGCGACGAACUACUGCGAAAGCAUUUGCCAAGGAUGUUUUCAUUGAUCAAGAACGAAAGUAAGGGGAUCGAAGACGAUUAGAUACCGUCGUAGUCUUUACCAUAAACUAUGCCGACUAGAGAUGGGGCAUCGUUCAUUUACGACUUGCUCCGCACCUUAUGAGAUAUCAAAGUCUUUGGGUUCCGGGGGGAGUAUGGUCGCAAGACUGAAACUUAAAGGAAUUGACGGAAGGGCACCACCAGGAGUGGAGCCUGCGGCUUAAUUUGACUCAACACGGGGAAACUCACCAGGUCCAGACAUAAUAAGGAUUGACAGAUUGAUAGCUCUUUCUUGAUUUUAUGGGUGGUGGUGCAUGGCCGUUCUUAGUUCGUGGAGUGAUUUGUCUGCUUAAUUGCGUUAA
rnacentral:rRNA from 1 species